rnacentral:misc_RNA from 1 species
GAUGAAGAACGUAGCGAAAUGCGAUACGUAAUGUGAAUUGCAGAAUUCAGUGAAUCAUCGAAUCUUUGAACGCACAUUGCGCCCCCUGGUAUUCCGGGGGGCAUGCCUGUCCGAGCGUCAUUACAACCCUCAAGCUCAGCUUGGUGUUGGGCCCCGCCGCCCCGGCGGGCCCUAAAGUCAGUGGCGGUGCCGUCCGGCUCCGAGCGUAGUAAUUCUUCUCGCUCUGGAGGUCCGGUCGUGUGCUCGCCAGCAACCCCCAAUUUUUUUCAGGUUGACCUCGGAUCAGGUAGGGAUACCCGCUGAACUUAAGCAUAUCAAUAAGCGGAGGA